rnacentral:rRNA from 1 species
CCUGAACGCUGGCGGCGUGGCUAAGACAUGCAAGUCGUACGGGUGUAGCAAUACACCAGUGGCGCACGGGUGAGUAAAGUAUCGCUAACGUACCCUCCAGUCUGGGGAUAGCCCGGGGAACGUACCGGUAGUACCAGGUGAUAUACCUUGAAGGCAUCUUUAGGGUUCGUCAAAGGGAAACCGCUGGAAGAGCGGCGAUAUCGUAUCAGCUAGUUGGUGGGGUAACGG